GGACCAAUAAAAAACCCAGAAUAAAACAGGCUUCAAUCAUUACAGGCCUGCUGGAGAAGGCUGGAGAAUGUUCCUCUGGUCUGCUCUGUUCAGCUCUGACCUCAGGAAAAGGGGAAAAUACAAGCGACCUACUGCUGGCUGCCUUGGCAGGCUAGGAGUACAGGCUAGGAGUACAGGCUAGGAGUGCAGGCUAGGAGUACAGGCUAGGAGUGCAGGCUAGGAGUACAGGCUAGGAGUGCAGGCUAGGAGUGCAGGCUAGGAGUGCAGGCUAGGAGUGCAGGCUAGGAGUGCAGACUAGGAGUGCAGACUAGGAGUGCAGGCUAGGAGUGCAGAAAAGUUAUUUAAUGUUGUUUUUUUGUUCUUCUUCCUUUGCCUAAACAGAAUGGUGAAUUAUCAAAGAGUGGAAAAAAUCUUACCAGCCUCUGCUCUUUUUUCCCCGGCCUGCUUGGUGCUGUGUGGGUGCAGUUGGCGAUUCUUUUAACGUCACAUAAAACCUCUUCGUCUUUGACUGGCAACCAGUUCAUACAGACCACAUAGUCUGCUCCAUACAGACCACAUAGUCUGCUCUCCAAACUUCAGCUUUUCUGCUCUUUGAUGAUAUCGUCUGUGUGUGUGUCAUUAGCCCAGGCCCCUGACCUCACUUUAUAGUUUUCGUCAAUAUGUUCCCCUUUGGCAUGGCGACGCUUAAAGCAACUUUUAAUUGGAGGGUUUGGUGCAGUGGUACACAUACACACCUUCUCAAAGCCCACAGUGGUCCGGCCUUUUCCAAAUAUAAACAUUUGCUAUGAUGAGUAUGUUAACAUCAAUAUUUGGAGCGGGCUCUUAGCCGAAAUCUGAUCCCGUCUCUAUCAGUGUGUGCGUGAAACCAGAGGCCGGACCACAGGCUUGGAGUGACAGGUCUGUAAAAUUGGCUUAUUAAAUGGAGUCUGUGGGGUCAGGGGUCAGACAGUAGUGUGGAGGCAAGGUCCAACAUCUGGUGUACUGUUUGGCACCACAGGACCCCACUACCCACUACUAGAGGAGAUAGUCCUGAUAACAAGGCUGUUUGGUUUGUAUCAGAUUGCCUGAAGGGGAAUUAAAAAGGAGUCAGUAAUACUCCAUACUCCAUUUUUUUUACUCCUAUUUUACCACACCAGGGUUUGAAGUUUAAAGCUGGUAUUCUAUAAGAGAUGCCGUUACUCAAGCUGUAGAGAAGUUCUGGUUUUCAGUACUGGUCAGCCCCUUCAACCACUGUUUGCAUUAUACUGCUUCAAACUAAAGUGUUCCAGAUGCAGGAGGGGGACAGUAACAAACAUGAUCAUUUUCACUUUCACUGACUCACUGCUACAUCUGUUUUUGACAUGGUCAUUGUCCCCCCCCUCGAUAUUUUUU
rnacentral:lncRNA from 1 species